rnacentral:rRNA from 1 species
UACGGGGGGAGCAAGCGUUGUUCGGAUUUACUGGGCGUAAAGGGCGCGUAGGCGGUCGUGACAAGUCACUUGUGAAAUCUCCGGGCUUAACUCGGAACGGUCAAGUGAUACUGUCGGACUAGAGUACAGAAGGGGCAACUGGAAUUCUCGGUGUAGCGGUGAAAUGCGUAGAUAUCGGGAAGAACAUCGGUGGCGAAAGCGCUCUACUGGGCCAUAACUGACACUCAGGGACGAAAGCUAGGGGAGCGAAUGGG